rnacentral:rRNA from 1 species
GAUUAAGUUAUUAAGGGCGCACGGUGGAUGCCUUGGCACUAGAAGCCGAUGAAGGACGUUACUAACGACGAUAUGCUUUGGGGAGCUGUAAGUAAGCUUUGAUCCAGAGAUUUCCGAAUGGGAAAACCCAGCAUGAGUUAUGUCAUGUUAUCGAUAUGUGAAUACAUAGCAUAUCAGAAGGCACACCCGGAGAACUGAAACAUCUUAGUACCCGGAGGAAGAGAAAGAAAAUUCGAUUCCCUUAGUAGCGGCGAGCGAAACGGGAAGAGCCCAAACCAACAAGCUUGCUUGUUGGGGUUGUAGGACACUCUAUACGGAGUUACAAAGGACGACAUUAGACGAAUCAUCUGGAAAGAUGAAUCAAAGAAGGUAAUAAUCCUGUAGUCGAAAAUGUUGUCUCUCUUGAGUGGAUCCUGAGUACGACGGAGCACGUGAAAUUCCGUCGGAAUUUGGGAGGACCAUCUCCUAAGGCUAAAUACUCUCUAGUGACCGAUAGCGAACCAGUACCGUGAGGGAAAGGUGAAAAGCACCCCGGAAGGGGAGUGAAAUAGAACCUGAAACCGUGUGCUUACAAGUAGUCAGAGCCCGUUAAUGGGUGAUGGCGUGCCUUUUGUAGAAUGAACCGGCGAGUUACGAUUUGAUGCAAGGUUAAGCAGUAAAUGUGGAGCCGUAGCGAAAGCGAGUCUGAAUAGGGCGUUUAGUAUUUGGUCGUAGACCCGAAACCAGGUGAUCUACCCUUGGUCAGGUUGAAGUUCAGGUAACACUGAAUGGAGGACCGAACCGACUUACGUUGAAAAGUGAGCGGAUGAACUGAGGGUAGCGGAGAAAUUCCAAUCGAACCUGGAGAUAGCUGGUUCUCUCCGAAAUAGCUUUAGGGCUAGCCUCAAGUGAUGAUUAUUGGAGGUAGAGCACUGUUUGGACGAGGGGCCCCUCUAGGGUUACCGAAUUCAGACAAACUCCGAAUGCCAAUUAAUUUAACUUGGGAGUCAGAACAUGGGUGAUAAGGUCCGUGUUCGAAAGGGAAACAGCCCAGACCACCAGCUAAGGUCCCAAAAUAUAUGUUAAGUGGAAAAGGAUGUGGCGUUGCCCAGACAACUAGGAUGUUGGCUUAGAAGCAGCCAUCAUUUAAAGAGUGCGUAAUAGCUCACUAGUCGAGUGACACUGCGCCGAAAAUGUACCGGGGCUAAACAUAUUACCGAAGCUGUGGAUUGUCCUUUGGACAAUGGUAGGAGAGCGUUCUAAGGGCGUUGAAGCAUGAUCGUAAGGACAUGUGGAGCGCUUAGAAGUGAGAAUGCCGGUGUGAGUAGCGAAAGACGGGUGAGAAUCCCGUCCACCGAUUGACUAAGGUUUCCAGAGGAAGGCUCGUCCGCUCUGGGUUAGUCGGGUCCUAAGCUGAGGCCGACAGGCGUAGGCGAUGGAUAACAGGUUGAUAUUCCUGUACCACCUAUAAUCGUUUUAAUCGAUGGGGGGACGCAGUAGGAUAGGCGAAGCGUGCGAUUGGAUUGCACGUCUAAGCAGUAAGGCUGAGUAUUAGGCAAAUCCGGUACUCAUUAAGGCUGAGCUGUGAUGGGGAGAAGACAUUGUGUCUUCGAGUCGUUGAUUUCACACUGCCGAGAAAAGCCUCUAGAUAGAAAAUAGGUGCCCGUACCGCAAACCGACACAGGUAGUCAAGAUGAGAAUUCUAAGGUGAGCGAGCGAACUCUCGUUAAGGAACUCGGCAAAAUGACCCCGUAACUUCGGGAGAAGGGGUGCUCUUUAGGGUUAACGCCCAGAAGAGCCGCAGUGAAUAGGCCCAAGCGACUGUUUAUCAAAAACACAGGUCUCUGCUAAACCGUAAGGUGAUGUAUAGGGGCUGACGCCUGCCCGGUGCUGGAAGGUUAAGAGGAGUGGUUAGCUUCUGCGAAGCUACGAAUCGAAGCCCCAGUAAACGGCGGCCGUAACUAUAACGGUCCUAAGGUAGCGAAAUUCCUUGUCGGGUAAGUUCCGACCCGCACGAAAGGCGUAACGAUUUGGGCACUGUCUCAACGAGAGACUCGGUGAAAUCAUAGUACCUGUGAAGAUGCAGGUUACCCGCGACAGGACGGAAAGACCCCGUGGAGCUUUACUGUAGCCUGAUAUUGAAAUUCGGCACAGCUUGUACAGGAUAGGUAGGAGCCUUUGAAACGUGAGCGCUAGCUUACGUGGAGGCGCUGGUGGGAUACUACCCUAGCUGUGUUGGCUUUCUAACCCGCACCACUUAUCGUGGUGGGAGACAGUGUCAGGCGGGCAGUUUGACUGGGGCGGUCGCCUCCUAAAAGGUAACGGAGGCGCUCAAAGGUUCCCUCAGAAUGGUUGGAAAUCAUUCAUAGAGUGUAAAGGCAUAAGGGAGCUUGACUGCGAGACCUACAAGUCGAGCAGGGUCGAAAGACGGACUUAGUGAUCCGGUGGUUCCGCAUGGAAGGGCCAUCGCUCAACGGAUAAAAGCUACCCCGGGGAUAACAGGCUUAUCUCCCCCAAGAGUUCACAUCGACGGGGAGGUUUGGCACCUCGAUGUCGGCUCAUCGCAUCCUGGGGCUGUAGUCGGUCCCAAGGGUUGGGCUGUUCGCCCAUUAAAGCGGUACGCGAGCUGGGUUCAGAACGUCGUGAGACAGUUCGGUCCCUAUCCGUCGUGGGCGUAGGAAAUUUGAGAGGAGCUGUCCUUAGUACGAGAGGACCGGGAUGGACAUACCUCUGGUGUACCAGUUGUCGUGCCAACGGCAUAGCUGGGUAGCUAUGUGUGGACGGGAUAAGUGCUGAAAGCAUCUAAGCAUGAAGCCCCCCUCAAGAUGAGAUUUCCCAACUUCGGUUAUAAGAUCCCUCAAAGAUGAUGAGGUUAAUAGGUUCGAGGUGGAAGCAUGGUGACAUGUGGAGCUGACGAAUACUAAUCGAUCGAAGACUUAAUCAA